rnacentral:rRNA from 1 species
GACGAACGCUGGCGGCGUGCUUAACACAUGCAAGUCGAACGGAAAGGCCCUGCUUUUGUGGGGUGCUCGAGUGGCGAACGGGUGAGUAACACGUGAGUAACCUGCCCUUGACUUUGGGAUAACUUCAGGAAACUGGGGCUAAUACCGGAUAGGAGCUCCUGCUGCAUGGUGGGGGUUGGAAAGUUUCGGCGGUUGGGGAUGGACUCGCGGCUUAUCAGCUUGUUGGUGGGGUAGUGGCUUACCAAGGCUUUGACGGGUAGCCGGCCUGAGAGGGUGACCGGCCUCAUUGGGACUGAGAUACGGCCCAGACUCCUACGGGAGGCAGCAGUGGGGAAUAUUGCACCAUGGGCGGAAGCCUAAUGCAGCAACGCCGCGUGCGGGAUGACGGCCUUCGGGUUGUAAACCGCUUUCGCCUGUGACGAAGCGUGAGUGACGGUAAUGGGUAAAGAAGCACCGGCUAACUACGUG